rnacentral:rRNA from 1 species
UACGUAGGGUGCGAGCGUUGUCCGGAAUUAUUGGGCGUAAAGAGCUCGUAGGCGGCUUGUCACGUCGGAUGUGAAAGCCCGGGGCUUAACCCCGGGUCUGCAUUCGAUACUGGCUAGCUAGAGUGUGGUAGGGGAGAUCGGAAUUCCUGGUGUAGCGGUGAAAUGCGCAGAUAUCAGGAGGAACACCGGUGGCGAAGGCGGACCUCUGGGCCAGUACUGACGCUGAUGAGCGAAAGCGUGGGGAGCGAACAGG